GAUGAACGCUGGCGGCGUGCCUAAUACAUGCAAGUCGAGCGAACAGACGAGGAGCUUGCUCCUCUGACGUUAGCGGCGGACGGGUGAGUAACACGUGGAUAACCUACCUAUAAGACUGGGAUAACUUCGGGAAACCGGAGCUAAUACCGGAUAACAUGUUGAACCGCAUGGUUCAACAGUGAAAGACGGUCUUGCUGUCACUUAUAGAUGGAUCCGCGCCGCAUUAGCUAGUUGGUAAGGUAACGGCUUACCAAGGCAACGAUGCGUAGCCGACCUGAGAGGGUGAUCGGCCACACUGGAACUGAGACACGGUCCAGACUCCUACGGGAGGCAGCAGUAGGGAAUCUUCCGCAAUGGGCGAAAGCCUGACGGAGCAACGCCGCGUGAGUGAAGAAGGUCUUCGGAUCGUAAAACUCUGUUAUUAGGGAAGAACAAAUGUGUAAGUAACUAUGCACGUCUUGACGGUACCUAAUCAGAAAGCCACGGCUAACUACCUG
rnacentral:rRNA from 1 species